ensembl:lncRNA PDZRN3-AS1 PDZRN3 antisense RNA 1
CCUUUGCUGUUCUCAAGGCUGGCACUGAGGUUGGUAAAAGUUCCAAGCAGGGCUCCAACACCGGAACAAACCUUUCUCCAAUCCCUGAAGCUGUACAGCUAUACUUUACCGGUUACGUCUAGACUAUAAAGGACCACAGUGUUCCACCUCAGGCAGGUUCAGCGACCUGCAAGUAGUGAUACAGCUGGGAAAGUUACAGAGCCUGCGGGAAGCUCCGGCUGCAACUUCAGUUCUGACCAGAGGUUCUGUGAACCUUCAGGAUUUAGCAGGUUUCCAGGACCGGUGGGUGAAUCUACCCGGGGAAGUUUUGGUGGACAAGAGCUGCUCGCCAGCUGUCGGAGUGGGAGAGGCCAGCGUGCUGGCUCCAUCCACUUCACCUAACACCUCUGAAGUGUCUGCCCUGCAGUGUGGCAAGCGUGGUGCUGAGCGCUUCUAAAUCCGUCGCUUUAAAGAUCAUUAGUACAAUGUUGUGAGAGGGUUAGCUCCAUUUGAAAAUUAUUUUCCCGUGAUUACAAAAGAAGCGAUGCUGACUGCAGAAGUUAGAACUGGGAGAAGACUCAUCACCCCCAUGAUCAUGUCAACAACUGCCCUCCUUCAGUUUUGGUUUGUUUUGUGUGUACACUCUGUCAUCUUUCCAUUGAGGAAACUCAGGCUAGAAGAAGGAUAAAAACAAAACAGAAAACAAAACAAAACAAAAGUGCCCUGUAGGGUCCUGUAGGUCAGUGUUUCUCACAUUUUAAUGUGGUUGCGGUUCUGAUACAGUGGGUCUGGGGC